UGAUAAUUCAACAAGAAAAAAGGGAACAAAGUAGAAAGAAGUGAAUGUUGUUGUGGUUUUAAAUCUCAGUCGAGGCAGGUUACAAAAACAGACACAUUUCAUUAUGCUCUGGAGGGGCCAGGAGAAACAAUAGAAUAUACAAUAAUAAACAAAAUGCACUUAAAAGCAGAAUAAAUUAUAUAAAGUGAGAGAGGAAAUAAAAUGUAAUGAAUAUUGUUGCUGUAUGGCCAGCAGUGAACAGAAAAAGUAAAGGUAGAGAGCACUUAUUCAUAACUUGAGGAGACAAACAGGCUAUUUCAAACUUGUGGCUGAAGUUUGGAGUCAUCAUAAAGACAGUUUUGUCUGUGGGUCAGGUGUGAAGUAAAGAUCUGAGGAGUCAGUCAAUUGAACAGCUCUUUUAAGUGAA